rnacentral:rRNA from 1 species
GACGAACGCUGGCGGCGUGCUUAACACAUGCAAGUCGAACGGAAAGGCUCCAGCUUGCUGGAGUACUCGAGUGGCGAACGGGUGAGUAACACGUGGGUAAUCUGCCCUGCACUCUGGGAUAAGCCUGGGAAACUGGGUCUAAUACUGGAUAUGACCUUUCUCCUUAUGGGGUUUGGUGGAAAGUUUUUCGGUGUAGGAUGAGCCCGCGGCCUAUCAGCUUGUUGGUGGGGUGAUGGCCUACCAAGGCGACGACGGGUAGCCGGCCUGAGAGGGGGAUCGGCCACAUUGGGACUGAGAGACGGCCCAGACUCCUACGGGAGGCAGCAGUGGGGAAUAUUGCACAAUGGGCGGAAGCCUGAUGCAGCGACGCCGCGUGAGGGAUGACGGCCUUCGGGUUGUAAACCUCUUUCAGCAGGGACGAAGCGUAAGUGACGGUACCUGCAGAAGAAGCACCGGCUAACUAUGUG